AAGAAAGAAGCGCAGGUGAAGAAGCAGAGGCGCUUGGAAGGUGCAGGUGCAGGUGCAGAUGAAUGCCAUUUUGACUCCUUAGUGAUCAGUGUCCAUGAGGUGGUGUCUUUCCUCCAGGAUGAUCGGAUCUCACAAGCAUCAUGAGUAUACAGGUAGAAGAGGUAUCCGUAUCUAAGGCUGACCAUCGCCAUUUGGGGAGGUAAGCUCAUACAAAAAAUUUUCUUCCUUAAUCAUGGGAAUUAUAGAAGGCCUUUUUACAUUAUAACUUACGGGAAUUAGUCCCAAAAGGCUUCACUCCCUUCUCGAGACUAGUUUAUAGCAGUAUCGACAUGACGAUUGAAACUGUACCCAUCUAGAAUAUAGUCAUGCUAGGGUUCAUCCACACAAUGGGUUUUAUCAAGUGAUUGCAAGGUUCGAACUUUCGACAGGGUUGACAGCAACAAAGUUGGUAUUGACAUCAGUUGCAUUGAGUCGAAUGUUGAUCAUGUAUUGCUGUUUUUUUUAUGAAGGUACAUGGCGAUUUUAAUUUUUGCUGCUGUACUAUGGUUAGGUGUUCCAAGAACUAUACAACUUCUUAUGUCUUGCCUUCAAAUAAUUAAGCUAUCAUUAAAUUAGGGGUCUCGAUGCAUUGAUAUAAGCAGUCAGUAGUAGUAUAAGCAAUCAGCAAUACUGUAUCAGUUUCCUUAUUGGAUCUUUAUAAGAUCAUAGUGGAAAAGUUCAUCGUGACGGACAUGGAUUCUUAUUACUUAAUUUCUUCAAUCAAGAGAAAUAGAUGUUUGCAUUUCAAAUCAUGUGCCAGUACUUUGUCUACAUAUUGUUGAUCAUGACAGAAGUUUUCAAACUUUAAAUCCUCAAACUAAGUGGCUUUCAUACGAUUUUGAUCUUUAGUCAUCAUUUCUAUUAAUAUCUGGAUUCCAAUUUGUUGAAGUAUGUCCACGUCGGUGGAUAAUAGGUCUUAAAUGCUCUUUAUAUUCAUGUGGUAUCUCUUUAUCUUUCAGCUUAAGCCUUUGGCUUGGACUUUCUAACACGAUUCUUAUGGCUCAAGCUGUAUAAUUAGAC